CCUCGGGUGGCAGCAGUGGGGAAUAUUGGACAAUGGGGGGAACCCUGAUCCAGCCAUGCCGCGUGUGUGAAGAAGGCCUUUUGGUUGUAAAGCACUUUAAGCGAGGAGGAGGCUACCUAGAUUAAUACUUUAGGAUAGUGGACGUUACUCGCAGAAUAAGCACCGGCUAACUCUGUGCCAGCAGCCGCGGUAAUACAGAGGGUGCGAGCGUUAAUCGGAUUUACUGGGCGUAAAGCGUGCGUAGGCGGCCAAUUAAGUCAAAUGUGAAAUCCCCGAGCUUAACUUGGGAAUUGCAUUCGAUACUGGUUGGCUAGAGUAUGGGAGAGGAUGGUAGAAUUCCAGGUGUAGCGGUGAAAUGCGUAGAGAUCUGGAGGAAUACCGAUGGCGAAGGCAGCCAUCUGGCCUAAUACUGACGCUGAGGUACGAAAGCAUGGGGAGCAAACAGGAUUAGAUACCCCGGUAGUC
rnacentral:rRNA from 1 species